UGAGAACCUACCCUUUAGACAGGAAUAGCCCAUGGAAACGUGGAUUAAUGCCUGAUAGUCUCUACGGAGUAAAUGGUGCCUCCGGGUAUCGCUAGAGGAUGGGCUCGCGGCCUAUCAGCUUGUUGGUGAGGUAAAGGCUCACCAAGGCGACGACGGGUAGCUGGUCUGAGAGGACGAUCAGCAACACUGGAACUGAGACACGGUCCAGACACCUACGGGUGGCAGCAGUCGAGAAUCAUUCACAAUGGAGGCAACUCUGAUGGUGCAACGCCGCGUGGAGGAUGACGGUCCUAGGAUUGUAAACUCCUGUCAUUGGGGAGUAAGACUUAAGCGUUAAGAGCGUUUAAGUUUGAUAGUA
rnacentral:rRNA from 1 species